rnacentral:rRNA from 1 species
CCUACGGGAGGCAGCAGUGAGGAAUAUUUGUCAAUGGACGAGAGUCUGAACCAGCCAAGUAGCGUGAAGGAUGACUGCCCUAUGGGUUGUAAACUUCUUUUAUAAAGGAAUAAAACGAGGCACGUGUGCCUUUUUGCAUGUACUUUAUGAAUAAGGAUCGGCUAACUCCGUGCCAGCAGCCGCGGUAAUACGGAGGAUCCGAGCGUUAUCCGGAUUUAUUGGGUUUAAAGUGAGCGUAGAUGGGUUGUUAAGUCAGUUGUGAAAGUUUGCGGCUCAACCGUAAAAUUGCAAUUGAUACUGGCAGUCUUGAGUACAGUUGAGGGAGGCGGAAUUCGUGGUGUAGCGGUGAAAUGCUUAGAUAUCACGAAGAACCCCGAUUGCGAAGGCAGCUUACUAAACUGUGACUGACAUUGAUGCUCGAAAGUGUGGGUAUCGAACAGGAUUAGAUACCCUGGUAGUC